AUUGUUUCGAACGACAGCUUUCUUAUUUAGUUGAGAAAGCUGGCGGAUCGGUAUUGAGGGUCUUGCCAUCUUCCACGGUGGCUCCCUCGAAAUGCAUUAGCGCAUCCAUUCGAUAGGCAAGACGGACGAAAGCUCGUUAUUUCGCCCACGUCUUUCCCUGCCGGGUUUUGAUAAUAUCAGGACUUCGGAGGUGAAGAGAGGGUGUAGGCUGGACGCAACGACUUGCUGGUUGGAGUGCUUCUAACCCCGCCCAUGCCUCGCUUCUUUGGAAGAGAGGAAGGGAUUUAAUUUCAAUU
rnacentral:misc_RNA from 1 species